rnacentral:rRNA from 1 species
UACGUAGGGGGCUAGCGUUGUCCGGAAUCAUUGGGCGUAAAGGGCGCGUAGGCGGUUUGACAAGUCUGAUGUGAAAUCUCUGGGCUCAACCCAGAGUCUGCAUUAGAAACUGUCGGGCUUGAGUAUGGGAGAGGUGAGUGGAAUUUCCGGUGUAGCGGUGAAAUGCGUAGAUAUCGGAAGGAACACCUGUGGCGAAAGCGGCUCACUGGACCAUAACUGACGCUGAGGCGCGAAAGCUAGGGGAGCAAACAGG